rnacentral:rRNA from 1 species
CCUUAUGGCGGCAGGCCUACACAUGCAGUCGAGCGGUAGCACAGAGAGCUUGCUCUCGGGUGACGAGCGGCGGACGGGUGAGUAAUGUCUGGGAAACUGCCUGAUGGAGGGGGAUAACUACUGGAAACGGUAGCUAAUACCGCAUAACGUCGCAAGACCAAAGUGGGGGACCUUCGGGCCUCAUGCCAUCAGAUGUGCCCAGAUGGGAUUAGCUGGUAGGUGGGGUAACGGCUCACCUAGGCGACGAUCCCUAGCUGGUCUGAGAGGAUGACCAGCCACACUGGAACUGAGACACGGUCCAGACUCCUACGGGAGGCAGCAGUGGGGAAUAUUGCACAAUGGGCGCAAGCCUGAUGCAGCCAUGCCGCGUGUGUGAAGAAGGCCUUCGGGUUGUAAAGCACUUUCAGCGGGGAGGAAGGCGGUGAGGUUAAUAACCUUGUCGAUUGACGUUACCCGCAGAAGAAGCACCGGCUAACUCCGUGCCAGCAGCCGCGGUAAUACGGAGGGUGCAAGCGUUAAUCGGAAUUACUGGGCGUAAAGCGCACGCAGGCGGUCUGUCAAGUCGGAUGUGAAAUCCCCGGGCUCAACCUGGGAACUGCAUUCGAAACUGGCAGGCUAGAGUCUUGUAGAGGGGGGUAGAAUUCCAGGUGUAGCGGUGAAAUGCGUAGAGAUCUGGAGGAAUACCGGUGGCGAAGGCGGCCCCCUGGACAAAGACUGACGCUCAGGUGCGAAAGCGUGGGGAGCAAACAGGAUUAGAUACCCUGGUAGUCCACGCUGUAAACGAUGUCGAUUUGGAGGUUGUGCCCUUGAGGCGUGGCUUCCGGAGCUAACGCGUUAAAUCGACCGCCUGGGGAGUACGGCCGCAAGGUUAAAACUCAAAUGAAUUGACGGGGGCCCGCACAAGCGGUGGAGCAUGUGGUUUAAUUCGAUGCAACGCGAAGAACCUUACCUGGUCUUGACAUCCACAGAACUUAGCAGAGAUGGUUUGGUGCCUUCGGGAACUGUGAGACAGGUGCUGCAUGGCUGUCGUCAGCUCGUGUUGUGAAAUGUUGGGUUAAGUCCCGCAACGAGCGCAACCCUUAUCCUUUGUUGCCAGCGGUUAGGCCGGGAACUCAAAGGAGACUGCCAGUGAUAAACUGGAGGAAGGUGGGGAUGACGUCAAGUCAUCAUGGCCCUUACGACCAGGGCUACACACGUGCUACAAUGGCAUAUACAAAGAGAAGCGACCUCGCGAGAGCAAGCGGACCUCAUAAAGUAUGUCGUAGUCCGGAUUGGAGUCUGCAACUCGACUCCAUGAAGUCGGAAUCGCUAGUAAUCGUAGAUCAGAAUGCUACGGUGAAUACGUUCCCGGGCCUUGUACACACCGCCCGUCACACCAUGGGAGUGGGUUGCAAAAGAAGUAGGUAGCUUAACCUUCGGGAGGGCGCUACCACUUUGGAUUAACA